AGCAGUCGCCACGGUAAUACAGAGGGUGCGAGCGUUAAUCGGAUUUACUGGGCGUAAAGCGUGCGUAGGCGGCUUUUUAAGUCGGAUGUGAAAUCCCUGAGCUUAACUUAGGAAUUGCAUUCGAUACUGGGAAGCUAGAGUAUGGGAGAGGAUGGUAGAAUUCCAGGUGUAGCGGUGAAAUGCGUAGAGAUCUGGAGGAAUACCGAUGGCGAAGGCAGCCAUCUGGCCUAAUACUGACGCUGAGGUACGAAAGCAUGGGGAGCAAACAGGAUUAGAUACCCGAGUAGUCCCUGUCUCUUAUAC
rnacentral:rRNA from 1 species